UGGCGAUGGGCAUGAUGGGGUUCUUCGUCAUUCACCCCAAGGACCCGGCGUUCAUGCGGGUGGAUCGUGACUUCGUGUUUCUGCUCAGUACCUACGACAUCGAUCCGGGGACCUAUCUCCCGAAGGUCUCGGAGAUGACCGACUUCAACAUGUGGACCUUCAACACGCGGGUCUUCCCCGNNNNNNUGGUCGUGCGCAAGAACGAUCGCGUGCGGGUUCGCGUCGGCAAUCUGACCAUGACCAAUCAUCCGAUUCACAUGCAUGGUUACGAUUUUGAGGUGACUUGCACGGAUGGCGGAUGGGUCAGGCCGGAAGCGCGUUGGCCCGAAGUCACCAUCGACAUUCCGGUCGGCGCCAU
rnacentral:misc_RNA from 1 species